rnacentral:rRNA from 1 species
CCCGGGGACCCGGGCCACCGGGGUACGGGGUAGGUAAACGGUAACCGGUCGGUUGGUCGAACCCUAACGUCCCGGGCCCCGGACCAACGUAGGGGUAGGGUAAAUUAACCGGUACCGGGAAAAAGUAAACCGGUUCCCGGUUAACUUAAACCGUACCCGACUAGUACGACGGGNGGAAGGCGCAUGCCUUUCCGCCAAAGGAGGCGACUCCGGUGCCGGCUGGGCACGCGUGACAUUAGCUAGUUGGCGGGGCGACGGCCCACCAAGGCGACGAUGUCUAGGGGUUCUGAGAGGAAGGUCCCCCACACUGGUACUGAGACACGGACCAGACUCCUACGGAAGGCAGCAG